UACGGAAGGGGCAAGCGUUGUUCGGAAUCAUUGGGCGUAAAGCGCGCGUAGGCGGCCCGGUAAGUCCGUUGUGAAAGUCAAAGGCUCAACCUUUGAACGCCGAUGGAUACUGCCGGGCUAGAGUCCGGAAGAGGCGAGUGGAAUUCCUGGUGUAGCGGUGGAAUGCGCAGAUAUCAGGAGGAACACCAAUAGCGAAGGCAGCUCGCUGGGACGGUACUGACGCUGAGGCGCGAAAGCGUGGGGAGCGAACAGG
rnacentral:rRNA from 1 species